AAGGAUUUUUUACUUGAUAUGUCACUUGGACAUCUGUAAUAGGGGAGAAAAAAAUGUCAGAGGGAUAUUUCAGAAAAGGAAUUGAAUUGCUGUAACACUUCUCAAAGAGAAAACUAUGGAUAUGUUUUCCUGAAUGCAAAGGUGCGACUUUUUCAUAUUAGAAUUCCUGUGCUGCCUUCCAUCCCUAAUACUCAAUGGCAUAGAGAAAAUAAUGAAAGGAAGGCAAGUACCAUUUGCCAAAGAUGUGGCCAAGAUAACGCUGCUGUCACCAUGAAAGCUUUGUGUUAUCUACACGAUGUAAAAUUAUUUCCGAUUACCAUAGAAUAGAAGGGAAUGAAAAUAACGGCCAGCCUUCUCAUAAGUGCUUGUCCGUCAUCUCCAUGCUGCAGCAGGAUGAAUAUGGGGCCUGGCAGGUCUUAGCUUUCUUUGGAGAAUAUUAACUAUAGGCACCAAUGGAGCACAUUGAGAAGCAAUUUCUCUCCCGGAAGCACCAAAGCCUUUUAAGUAGUUCAGGCUUCACCGUUCACGUCCAGUUGCCAAAAAGCAAAUGAAUUGCCUGAUUUAAAAGACAUUUGUUUCCUUAUUUUUUUUUGGCAGUCAGGAUGAUCCUCUUGUUUUCCCCAUAAUCAGGCCCCACAGAACUACAUGCCUAUGCACUAACAAUUUAAAAUAAACAAAGCAUGGUUUUCAGGUGACCGCUUUGCCUCAAUUUGCUUGCAUGCUGUCCCAAGGGUGCCUACGGAGCUGGCUGCACUUCAGAAUGUCAGUGUGUGGAGAAGAAUACCCUGGAAUGCAGUGCCAAAAAUGGUAGUUGCACCUGCAAAUCUGGUUACCAAGGCAACAGAUGCCAGAAAGUCUGCCCAGAUGGCCUCUGGGGACCAGAGUGCUGGUUCUCCUCUGCACCCUGUGAAAAUGGAGGUCAGUGCAACAACAACAACAACAAAAAACUGGAAAUUGUGACUGCACUCCUGGUUACACAGGAAAAUCCUGUACCAUAUGUAAGUCAUAAACCUAGACGAAACAACCAACAAAGUUAAUAAAACUGUUAGCUUUAAAAAUGCUUUUUUCUUCCUGCUAUACAAGAUAUUGCUAUGUUAGGAUGCAUAUUCCCACUAUUUAUUGUUGUGUAACAAACUACCUCAAUACUUUGUGGCUUAAAACAAUGAUUUAAUAUUUCCCUUAAUUCUAUGGGUUGGUGAGGCGAUUAUACUACUGACAUGCCCUGGGGUCACUCACGUGACUGCUUUGGCUGGUAGAUAUUUGAGAACAGACUGGGCAUGGCUGGGCUGCUCAACCAGGGAACUUACCCUUUCCUCCACGAAACAUUUCCACAAGGUUAACUUGGACUUUCCCAUAGCAUGACAGUUUUAAGAUAAUAAAGAAGGAGCAUUCCAAAAGUGUGCAAGCAAAAGCUAUGUGAGGUGGAAAAGCCUUGCCUCAGAAGCCACACAUUGUCACUUUCACUACAUUCUAUUGGUUAAAGCAAGUCAUGGGGCAAGUUCAAGUUCGGGGGGAGGAGAAAGAGAUUCUACCUACUGAAGAGAAGAGUAGCAGAAGCCCAUUGCAAAAGACCCGCAAGUUGAGAGAUACGGUUGCAGACAUUUUUGGAAGCAAUCUACCGUGGUAUGCUAUUCAAAUUUAUACUGAAAGCAGCACUUUAAGAACCUACUAGACUAGAAUUAUCUCAGAUGGAAGCAGAUUAGAGACUGAUAAAAAGUGAUUAGCUACACCGAACUAGUUUCAAGGACACGGUAGAACCACUAUCCUGCUGUGCGCUUUUCUGGUUGUGAUUCUUUAUAAGUUGUGCUAACCCUGCCUGUAUCACCUUCUCUACUCCAUUGACAAUGAAACACAGUGACUUGAGAACAUGCGGAAAGCUAUGGGCUGGAUAGUAAUGAUGCUACUUUUUUUUAUCAUUACUAUUUCAAAUUUGUCUAAUAAAGAUUAGCAAACAUUUGUGAUUAUCAUUUUAUGAAGUGUGAACAGUGAUUUGAAUUAGCUUUCAGUGCUUGGACCUUUCCAUUAACCAACAAAUAUAUAAAAUCAGAAACAACAUAUAUAAAAUGUAAGCAAAUAGUAUUGAGCACUGAGCUAAUCAUGUGAUCACUUUGGGAAAUAUUGCUGCCCCCAAAGAGAACCCUCAGGCAAAAGUUAUAGGACUAGAUCUUUUAUGACUUUCUGUAUAUAGCAAGAUUCUUUAUUUUAGAACUGUUAUUCUAGCACUUUUGACAAGCAUUUCAAACAGUAGAAUAGUUUACUGGAGAAGCAGUUGGCCAUCCCUAACCUACUUGUUUGCUUCAAAAAAAAAAGCCGCUUAAAGGUAAGAAUUUACAUAUUCAAAAGGUAGUUACUUGCUAUUUCCACAGUGAAGUGACAUUUUCUCUUGUCCAACUCAACUUUAAUGGAAUAAUUAUUAAACAGAUAGUGAUAAAGUUUACACUGUUCCAAUUGUCAAGUGAUAUAAAUAGACCAUUUAAAAACAAGUGAAGAAAAAGAUAAACUCCUCAUUAUUUAAAAUAUUAAUUUUAAUAGUUAUGUUACGGUUCUUUCCUUCUAUGACUUCAAAUCCCAGAAAAACAUUUCAUGAUAGUCCUGAGAGAUUUGUUAGUGAUAAGUAAUACUAUUUACAUUUUAUUGGCAAUUUGAUCAUGAUACAUACGCAAAAAUAUUCCCUGACUCCCAGUCCAGUCCAAUUUUAGUAUUACAUGCUAUUAUCUGAUUUUACACACACAGACACAAACACAAAUUAUAUAAUCACCAUAAUAAGAUAUUUAGGAAAAUGAAUGGAACCAAAAGAUAGAAUUCAUUAAAAAUGCUUCACGCGUACUUCACAAAGAAUGUGUGUGGCAUUUUAAAAGUGGCUUGUAUUUGAAGAAAAGCAUACAACAUUUCUCUAAAUAUCCUGUUAUGGUGCUCACAGAAUUUUAAAACCUAGUUACUCUGCAUAAUGAACUGUAAAAAUACUCAUAGGCUAUGUAAGUAAUAUAUUUUAGAGGCAGGGAAGCCCAAAAAGCUAUGUUCAAAUAUAUUGGCUUUUUAAUAAAUCCUGUUGUUUGGAAGUUAUAAAUACAAAUACUUGGGGAGAAUCUUUUUAAAUAUUUUAUUUCACUGUAUUAAAAAAAUCCUCUGGAUUGUGGUAGAUUGGUUUUUUGUUGCUGUUUUUUGUUUUUGCCUCCUAAACAGUAUGUGUAUGGUGUAGUAUGGCCAUGGGGGUGGAAUCACAGGCACUCUCACACCCUUCACAAGAAUGUAUCAUCUCUGUGAAGGACAGUUAAAUCUUAUAUGUCAGGCCUUUUAGCAACUAAUCAGAGAAGGGCUGCUAGCCUUGUCUUUAUCCCAGCAUUAUUUAUAACAAAAAAAAAAACCUUAAAGUAGAAACAACCUUAAUACCCACUAGAUGGAGAAUGAUUGAGCAAAUUAUAUAACAUAUCACUGGACUCUUCUGAGGCCAUUAAGUUUCAUGUUUUAGAAGAAUAUGUAAUGUCAGAAAAAUUGACAUUUAGUUGAUGUUAAAAGCUGUAUGUAGAGAAUGACUCAAAUUUGUAAGAACAUGUACCUAUGUAUGUAUAUGGGAAAUUGUAGAAGAGAGGACAGCAGUUUUUAAACAGUGGCCAUCUCUAGAUGGUGGGACUAUGGGUGAAUAUUUUUCUCCUUUAUACAUUUCUGUCUUUUUCAUAUUUACUAGUUUACUACUUUUUCCUUAGCAAUCAGAGAAAAAAAUGGCAUCAUCUUUAGACCAAUUGUUGACUAAAUAUCCAAGAAAAAUAGUUACCUAUUCUUAAAGUAUUCUCUGUUGGCCUAAACUGUUCCCAUAAUAGUGAAGAUAUUUUUUCCUUCAGUCGUAUUCAACUUAUUGUUUCUUUAAUUUAAGACCAUUUUCUCCUUUUACUCCUAUUGUGAAUAUUAACCAUAGCUCAUCAGCACUACCCGAAUUCUUGAAAAAUAAACACCUAAAACAACAUAGUAACAUUUCCUCUGAAUAUUUUAUUUCUGUUUCUUCAGAAACCUCAUUUUCUGUUCCUUAGUCAUUUAGUGAUUACUUUUAUUUUUUUAGGAGCACUUAUAAAACAGUCCCCUUUACUACUAAAGGAGAGAAAAUUAGAAUGGAGAAAAGACAUGGGAAGGGAAAUACUAAUUCCAAAUACAUCCAUGCUUCAAAUACUAUUUGAUCAAACUUCAUAAAAACCAUAAUGAACACAGGUGUAAGCCUUCCUCAGUGCUAAGCUGGCAAAUGUUUAACAGGCUCUGUGAAAGAUGAAAGCACUGGGUUUUAGUGUUUGCCUAUUUCCAAGGUAUAAUACUCCUACCGUGGUGAUUUCAAAUGCCUUGCAAAAUUCCUGAAAAUGUAACAGUUGGCUUUCCCGAGCUGGUAGUUACGGAUCCAGCAUACCACUGGCUGGCAAAUAUUGAUGUAUUCUGAACACACCAAACAAUUUCUUAACUUUUACUUUCUCUUUUGAUAUGAAGAAAUUAUUACUUUUCAGGUAUCAGUUUUAUUUUACUGUUUCUAAACAGAUAACCUGAUUGAUCUUUUUCGUUGAAUUAACCAACAAAUAGUUCCAACCAACAAAAAUUUGCCAUUUAAAUAGUCUAUUUUAUUUUUAAGACAAAAAUCAAUUGUUUGGCUAAAUGGAUUAAAGAUUCAAAAAACAGACAAAAGAAGGUAUUGAAUUGCUUUAUGUGUAAACACAGCCUCCUCAUCUUUUACUCUAGAAUUCGUAUAGCUGAGGUUUUGACUCAAUCUAGAGAAUCCUUUAACAACCUCUAAGCUGUUUUCCAACUUCCUCUACCACACCCAGCACGAAUGAGGGCUGACAUUUCCUUAAUUAUACACUUUUGUUUAAAAAAAAAAAAAGGAAGAAGAAGAAGAAAAAGAAAAGACAGUUAUCAGUUAUCUAAGGUAGAAGUAAAAGAGUAUGUGUAAAGGUGUAAAGCAAGGCAAAACAGCAAACAAGUUUUAAAAAUUAGAAAAGCAAUUAAAGUCUUAAGUAUUACCAAACACAAAGAGCUAAGGUACAACAAGAUACUUCCUCCUCUCUGAAACAAUUGUAAAUCAGAUUUUUAAAGUUGCUGUAAAAUAAAUUGUAUUUAAAUAAUACAUCUCCUGUCCUUUCCCACAGUGAGAUGCAUUUCCCUUACCAAUCUGGCUCUCAGCAGGUGGUCCAGCCUGAUGAAGUACCAGCAAAAUGUCAGCUCCCACAGAGAAGUGCGACAGAGGCGACAGUGCAGCACUGACAGGCCUUUCAAAAAGCUAUUGUGCAAAUUCAGUUUUAAAAUAGGGAUGUGGUUGAGGACUGAUGGGUAUUUCAUUACCAAUGCGUUCAUCUCCCCAUCGUCCAAGAGAAUGAGAGGGGGUCAUAGUACAGCUGAUACAAAGCCAUUAAGUUGAGUAGAGGUGGAUUUGGUCUUUAGAAGAUUUGUCUUCCUAUCUGUAUUUUCGAGAAGUUAGUAUUCAAAUUAGCUGUCAUUUUUAGAACAUACCUGCUAAAGAGGGGCCAAGAAUUGUUCUUUUUUUCUACUUGAUUACCUUCCGGUGUCUCAAGUAGAUCAUUAAAAACAAAGUUAAUCUUGUCAUUACUUUAUAAACCUCUUUGAGCUACUGAUACUGUUCAUAAUGAAGUCUCUAGCACUAAAGACCCAUCAUCAGCCUGUCUCUAGCCAGCUUUUGACCAUGCUCACGUAUACCCUACAUAUUUUAGUCAUUCCCCCAACAUCAUGUACAUUUAAACCAUGGUGCCAUUGUUCAUUGCUCUUUCCUGUAAUAUGUGUUUUCUUCUUCCAUUUUUAUCGUCUCAAGCAUUUAUUCCUCAAGCAUUUUUAUUUUCAAGUAUAUGUAAACAAACAAAAUUCUAGAGCGUUUCCUUCCAUAGCAGCACCAAUCAUAUUGUAUUAUAAUUAGUUGCCUGCUAUUAAGACUACUUAUCAUUAAUUUUUGUAUACCCCUUUUCAAUAUACAAGGGGUACUCAAUAAAGAUUUGCUAGGUUCAAUUAAAGAACAUUUUUGACAACUUAAAA